AUGGUGAUUUUAUUUUCGUUAGAUCUUUGCCUAGAUUGACGCUAAUGCAUUAUAGAGGAGUGGAUCACCGCGGCAAGAUGGCGUCUCGAUUGACGCAUUCGUUCCAAUGAACAGCAGUAGUCAAGGCGACAUCUAGUCAGUAUAUAUAUCUAUGACCAAUGUUAAUUCUC